rnacentral:lncRNA from 1 species
AAGGUGUGGGGGAAGCCACCACCAAAAUUGUUGCUCUGGUCCAUACAACAUUGAACCGCUAGCUCACAAUACCGUCGGAGCCCUCUUCGCCUACUUCCUCCCACGACCACGAGGCAUGCACUGAUGCAUUCCUAAAUGCCUCCCAUUUCUACUCCUAACCUUGCAAUGUUUCUAAGUGUAUUAGUAGUACUGUAUAUGAUGGUGUAAGAUUGUGACAGCUA